AUGUUCAUAGUAUGUUUCUUAAACCCUAUUCAUGGGUGGAGCUUAAUUUCAAGAAAUUGAAAGAGAGUUGUUAUGUGAAUUUUUUAUCAGUACAGAUUACUUCACAACUUUCGAUUUGUUGUAGAAGUGUUAUGUAAAGAGAAUACUUAUACUUUCAGCUUAUAUAUAUAAUUGUUAUUACUUGCUGGGCACUCAAAUGCUCAUCCUUGCUUAAAUUAAAUGUUUUCAG
rnacentral:lncRNA from 1 species